CUCACCCCCCUUUGACUGAGCUAACCACGCUACACUUCACACAGUUUUUGAAGGAACUCGGUAGGGAGGUUGUUCCAAACUAGCCACAGUUCUUUUGUGGAUUUAGGCAGCCUCAAAUGCUUCCGUCUCUUCAUGUAAUCCCAGGCAGAGUCAAUGAUGUUGAGAUCAGGGCGCUGUGGGGGCCAUACCACUUUAGGACUCCUUGUUCUUUACGCUGAAGAUAGUUCUUAAUGACAUUGGCUGUAUGUUUGGGGUCGUUGUCCUUCUGCAGAAUAAAUUUGGGGCCAAUCAGAUGGUAUUGCUUGAUGGAUAGCAUUGAAGAGACCAUUAAUUCUGACCAAAUCUCCAACUCCAUUUGCAGAAAUGCAGACCCAAACUUGCAAGGAAUCUCCAACAUGCUUCACUGUUGCCUGCAGACACUCAUUCUUGUACCGCUCUCCAGCCCUUCAGCUGCCAUUUUUCUGCACCUCAGUUCCUGUGUUUUUGUGCAUAGUUGAGUUGCCUGGCCUUGUUUCCACGUCGGAGGUAUGGCUUUUUGGCCGCAAUUCUUCCAUGAAGACCACUUCUGACCAGAUUUGUCCACACAGUAGAUGGGUGUACCUGGGUCCCACUGGUUUCUACCAAUUCUGAGCGGAUGGCACUGCACUACAUCUUCCGAUUGUGAAGGGAGAGCUUGGACAGCACAUCUGGAAACCCCUGUCUGCCUUGACAUUUCUGCCUGGGAGAGACCUUGCUGAUGUAGUAUAACUACCUUGUGUCUUGUUGCUGUGCUCAGUCUUGCCAUGGUAUAUGACUUCUGACAUUAAACUGUCAUCAGUAACCUCA